GCUCCUCUGCGCAGGCUUGUAUAUUUUCAUACUUAGGCACCGUUCCGUUAUAAUUCCCCAAAAUCCCAUUUAGAGAUUCCUCAGGCCGGGCGCGGUGGCUCAGCUGUAAUUCCAGCACUUUGGGAGGCCAACGCGGGUGUUUCACGAGGUCAGAAGACCGAGACCAUCUUGGCCAACAUGGUGAAACCUUGUCUCUAGUAAAAUACAAAAAACUAGCCUGGUGUGGUGGCGCACGCCUGUAGUCCCAGCUAUUCGGGAGGCUGAGGCAGAGGAAUCGCUUGAACCCGGGAGGCACAGGCUGAAGUGAGCGGAGAUCGCGCCACUGCAUUCCAGCCUGGCAACAGAACAAGACUAUGUCUCAAAAAUAAUAAUAAUAAAUAAAUAAAAAGAUUCUCUAUCAAAUGUACACCCUGACUGUAAAACAAUGGACGGAGACCCUAAGAUAGAGAGCAAGGCCCAGUGGGUUUUCCACACCACAUUUCCUUGCCUCCACUGUGGCCUGUUAGGUGAAGCCGCAGUCAUUAAUGGGAAUGAUCUCGAGUGGGAGCAUUAAAAGUAACGAGCACACACUGGCCAGUCACCAUUUUUUUGGUGUGAAAAGCUCAGGGAACAAUCAUAGCAGGAUUAAUCUGUGUGCUCAUUGUAGAGUUGCAGUCUCUUGGCUCUUCCCGCUGACCGUCCCCCUUUCCUGACCCCCUCGCUUUUCCCGCCCUCGCAAGGGAUUGUGGGCCAACCCCCAACUGCCGCUGGGAGAGACCUGUCCUCAUUCCCCGCACCCUCCAACGCCUUUCUGUGAGUCGAGUCUGGAGCAUGGAGGGUUCUGAGACCGUUAUUUCUUCAUGGCCUGCCUAGCUUAAGAAGUAGCUGGAAAACUUAGAAGAACUCCCUAAAUAUUGCAAAUCAGAACCCUCUGCAUACUUAGAUCUAAAAAAAGGAAAAAAGAUUACAUGUACAGCAGCUUGUUUAACUGCUCAAGAAAUUGGUGUGCACCUGCUUUUGCAGCUGCUGGGGAAGGUGAAGCAGGAGGAUCCCCUGAGGCCAGAAGUUCGAUAACUGCCGCACCCCAGCCUGGGCAACAAAGCAGAAUCUUGUUGGAGCGGACUCAAGCAGCACCUCAGGAACAGUUAGAACAGUUAGUGCAAAGGGUAAAUGAUAUUACCGCAGAAAAAACUCGGCUGGAACUCACAAUCAACGACCUGCAAUCUGAACACUCCAGAGUAAAAACUUCGCAAGCCGAAAAUAAAAUCGAAUUGGAAACGUAUGAGAAACUCUACCAAGAAGAAUUAAACGUUGUAAAAUCCUUGUCAAAUGAACUGAGAAGAACCAUGGAGAUGACAGCAGAGGUCAGUGCCCAGCUUACUGCGGAGAAAGAGAAGACCAGAUAUCCAGCCACUGCUUCUACUACAAGGCCAUUCCUAGUGUCACCUUCUGUUGGAAAUCUUAGUGAAGGUCUCAACAGAAGACAUAUUGGAAGAGAAAGCAGGUCUUCAGAUGAGAGCAUGGAGAGCUUCAUGUUGAGGUUCGGUGUUUGAGAGGUUUGUUUCUCGAGGCCAUUCCUGCUUCAAUCUCAGGUUUUCUACCCCUCAUCAUAUGUGAAUGAUUGGUAUCCACACACUAACCAUACAUUGAUGUUUAUUAUUCAAAAAGAUCCAAUGUGAAAACUUUUAAUAUGUUGUAUAAACCUGCAACACUUGAUUAAUCUCUGUUCUUUAAGUUAAAAGAUUUGUGAUUUUUUUACGAGUACACCUGUCAUUGCUAUUGCUCUUACAGCGUUUUAAUCUCCAUUUUUGUAAAAUGUAUCUAUUACUAUGCAAUUGUACAAUGAUUCUGAAAUAAACAAAUAUCUGAAUUUUUAAAGUAAAGCUCAGUUAUGUCUCUCUACCUAGCCAUAACUUGAUGACUAAGAUGGCAGUGAUGUCUUGAGUCCUUCAGUAGCAAAUGUGACCAAACAGAAUCAAUUCUAUUCUUUCUACCCCAAAUGCCAUGUAAAGCUGCACAUGGACAUCUGUCCUGGAUCAGUAACAGGAACAUUUUAGUUCAACCACGUGUUUUGUGACAUGGUAAAGCCCUAUAAAACUGCAUACCUCAAUCAUACCUCAGCUUUCCAUUGAAACUGCUCUCUGUAACCCAAAUGUGACAAGCAAGCAGUCCAAACCCACGUUAUCUUGGCCCCUGUGACUUGUAAUUUCCAUGCUAUGCAGGCAAUGUGUAGACAAAUGCUUAUCUUGACUUUUGUGAACUGCUUAAGUAACAAUCAGAAUGUCAGAAGUCCCCUGGCCCUCGGAGUGUCUGGAGCCCCUCACCCUCAUCUCCGCCCAGGAGGUGAUUUAUAGAAUCUACUAGCCCUCAGAAUGUCUGAAGCCUCUCACCCCCACCCACGCCCCUCACCCUCACUUCUGAGGUGGUUGUACAGGUAGAAAAGGUCUUGACACCCUGCUUUCAGGGCCACGGGUUGGAGAGAUGUGAGUCCUCUGUGGCCGCCGGCAAUAAAGACCCUGCAAUCUGGCAUACUUUUGUCUUGGUGUUGGCUUUCUAUGCUCACUUGACUGCAACAGUUUCACUCAGAGUAAGUCUAUUUCUGAGGAUUUCAAAAUGGAUCCAAGAAUGACAAGCUGUGUCAAUUAUAGAAUUGGUAAAGAAAAAAAGGAGUUCAACUAUGCUUAACUCAGAUUAAGGUAUUUGUCUAACAUUUGUCCAUUUUUCAACUGGAGGAAAAUUAUAAAAGCUGAGCACAGUGGCACACACCUGUAAUCCCAGCUACACCUGAGGCUGAGGGCAGAUAGAUCACUUGAGCCCAAGAGUUCAAGGCUUCAGUGUGUAAUGAUUGUUCUGUAACACUGUAGCACUCCAGCCUGGGCAAUAUAGCAAGAUUCUGCCUCUUAUAAAAAUUAAAAAAUCCAUAAAACAUUUGUAUGAACAAAAAUUAAUAGUUUUCUUUGUGUUUAUUUUUAUUUUUUAAAUUUCAGUCAAUGCACAUUGGCUUAUAGUUUCAGUGGUUUUGUUGUUGUUAUUUUGUUUAUUGGUUUUUGUUUUGGUUUUUUUAUAAGACAGGGUUUCACUAUGUUGGUCAGGCUGGUCUUGAACUCCUGAUCUCAGGUGAUCCACCCAUCUUGGCCUCCAAAGUGCUUGGAUUACAGGUGUGAGCCACUAUGCCCAGACUGUUGGGUUUUUGGUUUUUUUUUUUUGAGAUGGAGUCGUGCUCUGUUGCCCAGGGUGGAGUGCAGUGGUGCAAUCUUGGUUCACUGCAACCUCUGUCUCCUGGGUUCAAGCGAUUCUCCUGCCUCAGCCUCCCAAGCAGCUGGGAUUAUAGGUAUGUACCACCACACUCAGCUAAUUUUUGUAUUUUUAGUGGAGAUGGGGUUUCAUUAUAUUUGCCAGGUUGGUGUUGAACUCCUGACCUCGUGAUCUGCCUGCCUCAGCCUCCCAAAGUCCAGGGAUUACAGGUGUGAGCCACCAUGCCUGUCUUAGUUUUGGUGUUUUUAUGAUUUCCUAAAUGCACAGAAAAUUAGCAUAGGCCCACAUGGAAUGAGGCCUUGACCCUGUUGUGUUUACCUGGCUAUUUCAUGUUCUAACAUAUCACAGAAGAGCAAAUCUGUGGUUUCUUAGGCAGCAUUGCAGCCAAAUAGCUUAAAAGGCAAUGCAUUAAAUUACUGUUUUAAUACGUAGAUUUCAGGAGCCCAGCUAGCUGAGGUUUUUAAUCAUAUUAUUUGCUUAGGUUUUCUUUUUCUGAAAAACAAAUAAGAUGAUUAGCAUCCAGAUGCUUCAGUCAUGAAAUUGUACCACUGGGUACAAAAGGAAAAUGAAUGUUAAAUAUAUCUGUAAAUUGUUAAGCAUGAUGCCGAUAUAAUGUUCUCAUUAGUACUGUGAACCCCCACAAUUUGAGACAGGCCUCAGUUAAUUGAGAAAGUUUGUUUUGCCAAAGUUGAGAAUACAUGCCAUGACACAGCCUCAGGAAAUCUUGACGACAUGUAUCCAAGGUGGUUGGGGCACAUCUUGUUUUUAUACAUUUUAGGGAGACAGGGGACAUCAAUUAAUAUAUGUAAGAAGUACAUUGGUUCAGUCUGGAAAGGUGGGACAACUUGAAGCAAAGGGAGGAAGACUGGAAGUUGGGAGGGGGCUUCCUUCCAGAUAGGUGAGAGACAAACAGUGGCAUUCUUUUGAGUUUCUGAUUUGCUUUUCCGAAGGAGACAGUCAGAUAUGCAUUUAUCUCAGUGAGCAGAGAGAUAACUUUGAAUAGAAUGGGAGGCAGGUUUUCACUAAGCAAUUUCCAGCUUAAGUUUUCCUUUUAGCUUAGUUAUUUUGAGGCCCAAGAUAUUUUUUCUGUUCACAGUACUUACCAGAAAAGUGAGGUAAUGUAUCAUUUUACAAGAUGGUGAUGAGAGAGUAUAAAAAGCAGAUCAGAUGCAAGGGAAGAUUUUUGAGGAACUAUUUUUUCUCAAUUUUUGGGAGCCUUUCACUGGCCAGGAAAAAACCCGAGUCAUCAACACUCAAGACCCCUUUCCUAAGCUUUUGGGUCCCAGAGGCACUCCCUACCUGUGUCCUGGGUCUGUCCCUUUUCCCUCUGCUUUCACAUCUGACCUGGGAUCUCUUUCCCAAAGGCUGUUGCCCUCCACUGUCAUUUAUGUGGUGAAAUAGUCAAGGGUCAGGGAAAGGCUGGAAGAGAAUUGGUGCAGGGGGAAGCCACUCCGGGAGUGGAAAGGGGCAGAGACUUCUACCAUGUACUUAUUUCUAAGAGUUUGAAUAUAAAAUGACCUUUAUUUAAAGUUGUUAUACAGAAGUAUUCUCCCCUACAGAGUUGCGAUUUCUUCAGUAUAAAAGUAAGCAAUUUGUUAAGGAGAGUAUCUCAUUUUUAUGUUAACCAAAUUGAGGUAGUACGAAAGUAUUUGUGAAUGGGGUAGAAAGAAAUAAUACAAUCUAUUACACUGGUAAGAUUUAGCAGAAGAGUUUUUUGGAGAAAAGAUAACUUUACAGUAGUAGUGUCUUAGUUUGAGUCAUGUAAAAAUGUACUUUUACAUACUGCUUAUGGGUGGCAAUAUCUAGGGAUUCUUUGAAGAAAGGCUCCCCCUUUAUCUGGUAUUGAGUUACUUCUUUUAUAAGGCCUGGCUGGUAAUGCUGUUGUCAUGUUGUUAUACCAGAGCGACAACAGAAAGUUAACGCCAAGACAAAAGUAUGCCAAAUUGCAGGGUCUUUGUUGCUGGUGGCCACGGAGGAGGACUCACGUCUCUUCAACCCGUGGCCCCGAAAGGAGGGUGUCAAGACCUUUUAUGCCCAUAAACCACCUCCUGGGCAGGGAAGGGGACAAGGGGCUUUGGACGUUCCCAGGGCCAGUGGACUUUGGACAUUCUGUAAACCACCUCCUGGGCAGGGGUGAGGGUGAGGGGCUUCGGACAUUCCGAUUGUUACUUAAGUGGUUCAUGGAAGUUAAGCAUUAGUUUACACAUCGUCUGGGUAGGGUGGAAAUUACAGACCUUAGUUACUUAUUACAAGUUGCAGGGGCCAACAUGGCGUGGGUUUGGGCUGCUCGCCUGUCACAUCAGGGUUACAGAGAGCAGUUUCAACAGAAAGCCGAGGUAUAGUUUGAGGUAUGCAGUUUCACGGGGCUUUUACCGUGUCACAAUGUUACUUACUCUGUAAAGCCUAUUUAUAAUGUUUUUUGUCACAGAAAUGUUAUGGAAAGGAGGCUCAAAAUAUUGGUUAACCUGUUAGUCAAAAAAAAAAUUGACACCUAAAAUUUAUAAAGGCAUUAGAUAUCAUUAUCAUUCUCGCCACAAACCAUCUCAGACCCUUUCUGGGCCUUUAAUGAGAGAGUGCCUAUUCUACAAAAGAUUUAAAUGAGAGCACUCUAGAUAGAGACACUGACAAUAAGUUUGAAAUAUUCCCACGCCUUUCAUAAUUAAGUAGAUAACUAUAACUUGUCAGAUGCUUCAAAAAUGGGUACUAAUUUCUGAAAAGAAACCAAAGUUGCAAAAUCCAAGUUGCAGUUAAAUAACUGUAUGGUUUUCCUAGUUUCUAAUUCUAGACACGAACGAGUCAAUGAAACUAAGAUUGAAAACUGGCUCUAACCUAUUUUUAUUCUUGUUUUCAUGUAAAUUUUCUGAAAUCUUUUUGUCCAUAUGAAUAAAAAAAUGUUAACCAUAAUAGUAUAAUAUUUUUAAUCUUUUGCCAAUGAAGUAUAUUCACAUGCCAUCACAACGACACUUUUUUCAACUGUGUAUUAAAGAUUCUGUGCUGAAUUACUAGUAAAGGAUGUACGUUAAAAUUAUUAUUUUGUACAAGUGGAGAAUGGAGAGUUCAUUUAAAGUGAAAAACUGAUUAGACUUUUAUGAAGGGCAGAGUUUUGAUAAGAAUGGGAAAGUAAUGCACUCAUUGCAAAAUAUGAGUUGAAUUGUUUAACCUCCGUACUAAUAAGGGAAAACCUCACAUUUUUGAAAUGACAUUGUCCAACAGACCAAUAUUAAUUGUGCUUUUAUGAGAUUAAACAGCAUAACACAUAUAUGUUCUCCUUUACCUAAACUUAAAAUAUGAAUUUAUGUGAUUUUUUUAAAAGCAAUCUUGAAGUUAGGUCUAGUCUCUGAAAGUAUUAUAUAAAGGCCACAUUUUGUAAUUGAUACUUCUUACCAUAAUAAGGUCU